GCACAUGCUUGGAACGGAAGAAAAUGUGCUGAAUGGAAACGACCACCCGACAAGCCACGUACAGUAUUCUCAGUUUUGCGGUUCUUGAGACUGGGCAGUGAUGAUAAACAGAAGCCAGGCCGAUGGAUGGAUGCUGCUAACCGGGACCAGCAGUGGAAGGGAAAGGCAGGGGGAAGAAAAGAGUCAGGGCCACGAUCUAAGGGCUCGUAAUUUGAAAUCUGAAAACCUGGGUCUGAGGAAGUCUUUCUGCUGUGACUCUACACUUCCUUGAAGAACCAGACAGGCCCACUUGAGCUGGAGAAAAACAAUGGCCUGUGGCGGGUCCUAUGCCUCAGUGCUAAACAACAAUGCAGACCUCUUGACGGAUCCUGGCGUCGUCGCGAGUGGGAUCUUGCAGUUCAACAUGUCUGCUGAACAGAAGUUGGAAAAAGAAAAGAUCAUCUU